rnacentral:rRNA from 1 species
AUUGAACGCUGGCGGCAGGCCUAACACAUGCAAGUCGAACGAGUGGCGGACGGGUGAGUAAUGUGUGGGAAACUGCCCGAUGGAGGGGGAUAACUACUGGAAACGGUAGCUAAUACCGCAUACCAUCGGAGGUGCCCAGAGGGGAUUAGCUAGUAGGUGGGGGAACGGCUCACCUAGGCGACGAUCCCGAGCUGGUCUGAGAGGAUGACCAGCCCCACUGGCACUGAGCCACGGUCCAGACUCCUACGGGAGGCAGCAGUGGGGAAUAUUGCACAAGGGGCGCAAGCCUGAUGCAGCCAUUCCGCGUGUAUGAAGAAGGCCUUCGGGUUGUAAAGUACUUUCAGCAAGUAGGCGUUACUCGCAGAAGAAGCACCGGCUAACUCCGUGCCAGCAGCCGCGGUAAUUC